rnacentral:rRNA from 1 species
UACGAAGGGGGCUAGCGUUGCUCGGAAUCACUGGGCGUAAAGCGCACGUAGGCGGAUUGUUAAGUCAGGGGUGAAAUCCUGGAGCUCAACUCCAGAACUGCCUUUGAUACUGGCGAUCUUGAGUCCGGGAGAGGUGAGUGGAACUGCGAGUGUAGAGGUGAAAUUCGUAGAUAUUCGCAAGAACACCAGUGGCGAAGGCGGCUCACUGGCCCGGUACUGACGCUGAGGUGCGGAAGCGUGGGGAGCAAACAGG